rnacentral:lncRNA from 1 species
CCUGGAAAGAAAUUUUAGCGUAAUGCUUCCAUAAUUUGUUAAGUUGUCUUUUGUCUGUUUUUUGAAGUUGAAAUAAAGUAAAAAAAAAAAAAAAAAAUCAGUGGUGGGGGUGACGUCAUCAAAACCGCGACAAAAGACGUUCCAUGAGAAAAAAAUCUCCGAGAUAUUCAGUGAAUCUGGGGACUGCAGAACUGUGGCUGAUGGUAGAGACUGGAGGACUCCACAAAUGCCGAAUUGGAGAAAGAAGAAAAAUAGCAGAUCCAGUGUCAAAUGUGAAAAUGGACAUGCAUUGUUAAGGUAACUUGUAGUUCAUGGAAUCAUGUGUACUCUCAUAGUAAGUUUUCCAAGCUCUUCUAUGAUAUCUGUGUAAUUCUCUAGAUUAGUUGUGUUUAUAGUGUGGUUGAUACUGAGCAAAAGUAGGGUCUUUCCUCCCAAUGCAUUUUAAGAUCAAUUUGUGAGACACUGGGAUUCCAAGAGAAAGAGUUAUUUAGUCUAGUGAAGAGGUCAUUGGCCCAAGGGCCCAAAAAUCUCCCUCUCUGAUUUUGAAUGGUUUAGAGUUUUUAUGGAUUCAAACGGGGGAGGGUGGUAUGGUUAUCAUCACAAUACUAAAUAUACACAAGCAUGAAUCUGGAGUUGAAAUAACCAUAAACAAAGCUAAGGUCAGUCUACAAUAGUCACCACAAUAGUAACUAUACACAAGGGUAAGUCUAGUGUUGAAAUAAUCAUAAAAUAGGUAAAAUCAGGCUAGAAUAACCAUCAAAAUAAUAAUUAUACACAGGAGUGAGCAUAAUAUUCAAAUAACCAUAAACAAAUAUAAAGUCAGUCUAGAAUAACCCCCACAGUAGUAACUACACACAGGGUAAGUCUAGUUUUGAAAUAUCUGUAAACAAAGGUAAGGUCAGACUAGAAUAACCAUCAUAGCAGUAAGCAUACAGAAGAGUGAGCCUAGUUUGAAAUAACCAUAAAGAAGAUGAGGUCAAUCUAGCCAGUUUCAGUAUUUCAGUUAUCAGCUUUUGGUUAUUCUAUAAUAUACUGAAAAAAUAAGAAAAAAGGCACCUUUAUAACAAUCCAGUAACAGUAAACUUUUCUUAAUUCUUAAUUCUAGGUUACAGUGUUAUAGGACAUAAAGCUUAAAGCAGAGUAAAGAGGAUCUUUGCUCUAGAAAUCAUAUUUAUAUGAAACAAAUGAUAUAGUUUGAUCCAAAGAGAUUGAAGCAUUUGGGACAAGAAAGAAAUUUGCUAUGGGUAGAACAACGGGGUCCCUUGCAGUGUGCAUAGAUCAGGAUUUAUGGUGACAAAUCCAACAGUGUAUGAAGUUACCUCCCUUUGAAAUGUCCUGGGAGAAGCACAGACAAUGGCAUUGUCUUUCCAGGCCAGUACAAGGACAAAGUAU